ACUCGGAGAUAGCUGGUUCUCCUCGAAAUAGCUUUAGGGCUAGCCUUGAGGUAAAAGAAUUAUGGGGGUAGAGCACUGAAUGAGGUAGGGGCCAAACCAGGUUACUGAACUCUAUCAAACUGCGAAUACCAUAAUUAGAAUACUCAGGAGUCAGACUGCGGGAGCUAAGUUCCGUGGUCAAAAGGGAAAGAGCCCAGACCGACAAUUAAGGUCCCAAAGAUAUAGUUAAGUGGAAAACGAUGUGAAUUUGCAUAAACAACCAGGAUGUUGGCUCAGAAGCAGCCACUCAUUCAAAGAGUGCGUAACAGCUCACUGGUCGAGUGAAUUUGCGCGGAAAAUUACCGGGGCUAAACUAUACACCGAAAUUUCGGAUUUACGUAUGAAAAUAUGUAAGUGGUAGAGGAGCAUUCUGUAGUAGGACGAAGUCAAAGCGAAAGCAUUGGUGGACGAGGCAGAAGAGAGAAUGCUGGAAUAAGUAGCGAGAGCAAGGUGAGAAUCCUUGCCGUCGAAAGUCUAAGGUUUCCUGGGGAAGGUUCGUCCGCCCAGGGUAAGUCGGGGCCUAAGGAGAGGCCGAAAGGCGUAUCUGAUGGAUAGCAGGUGGAGAUUCCUGCACUAUAGCUAGUUUUAAAAGAUGCAAGGGACGCAGUAGAGGAAGAUAACCAAGGAAGAGGAAAGACUUGGUCCGCAAGGGAUAGUGAAAAUUAAUAGUAACGAAAUAUCAAGAAUCACACUGACGAGAAAAGCUUGUAGAUAUUAACUAGAAAUACCCGUACCGCAAACCGACACAGGUAGAUGAGGAGAGGAUCCUAAGACGAGCGGGAGAAGCAUUGUUAAGGAACUCGGCAAAAUAACCCCGUAACUUCGGGAGAAGGGGAACCUAAGUAAAAUUAGGUCGCAGAGAAAAGGCCCAAGCAACUGUUUAACAAAAACACAGGUUUCUGCAAAAUCGAAAGAUGAAGUAUAGGAGCUGACGCCUGCCCAGUGCUGGAAGGUUAAGGGAAAGAGUUAGACGUAAGUCGAAGCUUAGAACUAAAGCCCCAGUGAACGGCGGCCGUAACUAUAACGGUCCUAAGGUAGCGAAAUUCCUUGUCAGGUAAGUUCUGACCCGCACGAAAGGCGUAAUGAUUUGGGCACUGUCUCGACAAUGUACCCGGCGAAAUUGUAGUACUAGUGAAGAUGCUAGUUACCUGCGACAAGACAGAAAGACCCCAUGGAGCUUUACUGCAGUUUGAUACUGGGUUUCGAUAAGUUAUGUACAGGAUAGGUGGGAGACAAAGAAAGAAAGGCGUCAGCUUUUCCGGAGUCACCGUUGGGAUACCACCCUUAAUUUGUUGGAAUUCUAACUAGUGGUCAUGAUCUGGCCAGAGGACAAUGUCAGACGGGCAGUUUGACUGGGGCGGUCGCCUCCAAAAGAGUAACGGAGGCGCCCAAAGGUUCCCUCAGUGCGGACAGAAAUCGCACGAAAGAGUGUAAAGGCAGAAGGGAGCUUAACUGGAAGAUAGACAUAUCGAGCAGAUACGAAAGUAGGGCUUAGUGAUCCGGUGGAUAUUGAAUGGAAAAGCCAUCGCUCAACGGACAAAAGUUACCCUGGGGAUAACAGGCUUAUCUCCCCCAAGAGUUCACAUCGACGGGGAGGUUUGGCACCUCGAUGUCGGCUCAUC
rnacentral:rRNA from 1 species